AGUGAACGCUGGCGGUAGGCCUAACACAUGCAAGUCGAACGGCAGCACAGUAAGAGCUUGCUCUUACGGGUGGCGAGUGGCGGACGGGUGAGGAAUACAUCGGAAUCUACUUUUUCGUGGGGGAUAACGUAGGGAAACUUACGCUAAUACCGCAUACGACCUACGGGUGAAAGCAGGGGAUCUUCGGACCUUGCGCGAUUGAAUGAGCCGAUGUCGGAUUAGCUAGUUGGCGGGGUAAAGGCCCACCAAGGCGACGAUCCGUAGCUGGUCUGAGAGGAUGAUCAGCCACACUGGAACUGAGACACGGUCCAGACUCCUAAGGGAGGCAGCAGUGGGGAAUAUUGGACAAUGGGCGCAAGCCUGAUCCAGCCAUACCGCGUGGGUGAAGAAGGCCUUCGGGUUGUAAAGCCCUUUUGUUGGGAAAGAAAAGCAGCAGGUUAAUACCCCGCUGUUCUGACGGUACCCAAAGAAUAAGCACUGGCUAACUUCGUG
rnacentral:rRNA from 1 species